rnacentral:rRNA from 1 species
GACGAACGCUGGCGGCGUGCUUAACACAUGCAAGUCGAGCGGUAAGGCCCUUUCGGGGUACGACGAGCGGCGAACGGGUGAGUAACACGUGGGUGACCUGCCCUUAGCUCUGGGAUAAGCCUGGGAAACUGGGUCUAAUACCGGAUAUGACUCCAUGACGCAUGUUGUGGGGUGGAAAGCCUUGUGCGGCUAGGGAUGGGCCCGCGGCCUAUCAGCUUGUUGGUGGGGUGAUGGCCUACCAAGGCGACGACGGGUAGCCGGCCUGAGAGGGCGACCGGCCACACUGGGACUGAGACACGGCCCAGACUCCUACGGGAGGCAGCAGUGGGGAAUCUUGCGCAAUGGGCGAAAGCCUGACGCAGCGACGCCGCGUGAGGGAUGACGGCCU